AAAAUAAAUGCUCCAUAGCUCUCUAAAAUUAUUCAAUUACAAUGUGAUUUCAGAUACCCAAUCCAUUUUUUUUUUCCUUAAGCUACAAAAUUUUUUUUCUUGAAUUGCUUUUCCAUGGCAUCCAAUACAUAAGCCAGGUUCUCUUUAAUUACCAAGUUCUAGUUUUCAAAGGAGAGUGAUUAGAGGAAAAGAGGUUGUAGUUGGCUCACACUAUUGUUUUAUUAUCUUUGUUCCCUGCUGUGAUACAAAUGAUUUGCUUUUUCUUGCUGACAGUGGCAUUUUGCUUUGUGCUAAAAAAGAAAAACUCAGAACACCAGCUAUAAAAAUGUUUGUUAUUUCAACCAAUUGUAACAUCUCUAAAAUUCAACAUUUGUCAUUGUUCCA
rnacentral:lncRNA from 1 species